UCAAAUUGUACGGUCAAUAAACGGUCGUCCACUUUACUGCCAGUCAGUGAGGAGGAACUGAAGAAGUUAUUGCAUACGAAGUACCCUGAAGUAGGUUUAAAGACAGCAGCCUCAACAGUGUUACAGUUAGUCUUAACUCUUCCAGGUAGGGGGCUUCCUCAGCAAACUGUGGUCAGUCUCAAGUGUAACUUAUUGUACACACUCUCAAGCCUCUUAUUGCAACAACUAGUACAGGCAUACCUCAGGGAUAUUGUGAGUAUUCCAGACCACCGCAAUAAAGUGAAUAUUGCAAUAAAGCGAGACACAAAUUUUUGGUUUCUGAAUGCAUGUAAAAGUUACCUUCAUAUCGUAUUGUAGUCUACUAAGUGUUCAACAGCAUUGUAUCUUAAAAACAAUGUAAAUUAAUUAAUUAAAAACUUUAUUCUUUAAGGGCUUCACAGGUGGCUGAAUGAUAAAGAAUCCACCUGCCAGCAGAGGAGACACAAGAGACGGUGUGUCGAUCCCUGGGUCGGGAAGAUCCUCUGGAGGAUGAAAUGGUAACCCUCUCCAGUAUUCUUGCCUGGAACAUCGCAUGUACAGAGGAGCCUGGCAGGUUACAGUUCAUAGUGUUGCAAAGAGUCAAACAUGACUGAGCGCAGCAGAGCACUUAUGCCUAAAUGAGGCUAACCAUCAUCUGAGUCUUAGGUGAGUCAGAAUCAUUUUACUGACGGAAGGUCCUGCCUUGAUGAUGAUGGCUACUGGUUGAUCAGGAUGGUUUUUGCUGAAGGUUGAGGUGGCUGUGGCAAUUUCUUAAAAUAAGACAGAAAUGAAGUUUGCCUCACUGACUCUUCUUUUCACGAAUGACUUCUCUGCAGCAUCUGAUACUCUUUUGUAAAAUUUAUUUUUGUAUUGAAGGAUAAUUGCUUUACAGAAUUUUGCUGUUUUCUGUGCUGACCUGCACUACCAAAAGAGUUCCUUAAGGCAGAAGGCAAAUGAUGCCAGAUGGAAAUCUACAUCUACACAA
rnacentral:lncRNA from 1 species